CUCAGGAUGAACGCUAGCGGCAGGCUUAACACAUGCAAGUCGAGGGGCAGCAUGACACGGAGAUUCGUCGAAGUGUUGAUGGCGACCGGCGCAAGGGUGCGUCCGAUUAGCUUGUUGGCGGGGUAACGGCCCACCAAGGCUACGAUCGGUAGGGGUUCUGAGAGGAAGGUCCCCCACACUGGAACUGAGACACGGUCCAGACUCCUACGGGAGGCAGCAGUGAGGAAUAUUGGUCAAUGGGCGAGAGCCUGAACCAGCCAAGUAGCGUGAAGGAUGACUGCCCUACGGGUUGUAAACUUCUUUUGUUUGGGAAUAAAAGACGCUACGUGUAGCGUUGUGCAUGUACCUUACGAAUAAGCAUCGGCUAACUCCGUG
rnacentral:rRNA from 1 species